rnacentral:rRNA from 1 species
AGUGAACGCUGGCGGUAGGCCUAACACAUGCAAGUCGAACGGCAGCACAGUAAGAGCUUGCUCUUACGGGUGGCGAGUGGCGGACGGGUGAGGAAUACAUCGGAAUCUACUUUUUCGUUGGGGAUAACGUAGGGAAACUUACGCUAAUACCGCAUACGACCUACGGGUGAAAGCAGGGGAUCUUCGGACCUUGCGCGAUUGAAUGAGCCGAUGUCGGAUUAGCUAGUUGGCGGGGUAAAGGCCCACCAGGGCGACGAUCCGUAGCUGGUCUGAGAGGAUGAUCAGCCACACUGGAACUGAGACACGGUCCCGACUACUACGGGAGGCAGCAGUGGGGAAUAUUGGACAAUGGGCGCAAGCCUGAUCCAGCCAUACCGCGUGGGUGAAGAAGGCCUUCGGGUUGUAAAGCCCUUUUGUUGGGAAAGAAAAGCAGCAGGUUAAUACCCCGCUGUUCUGACGGUACCAAAAGAAUAAGCACCGGCUAACUUCGUG